rnacentral:rRNA from 1 species
AAGGUUUCCAGAGGAAGGCUCGUCCGCUCUGGGUUAGUCGGGUCCUAAGCUGAGGCCGACAGGCGUAGGCGAUGGAUAACAGGUUGAUAUUCCUGUACCACCUAUAAUCGUUUUAAUCGAUGGGGGGACGCAGUAGGAUAGGCGAAGCGUGCGAUUGGAUUGCACGUCUAAGCAGUAAGGCUGAGUAUUAGGCAAAUCCGGUACUCAUUAAGGCUGAGCUGUGAUGGGGAGAAGACAUUGUGUCUUCGAGUCGUUGAUUUCACACUGCCGAGAAAAGCCUCUAGAUAGAAAAUAGGUGCCCGUACCGCAAACCGACACAGGUAGUCAAGAUGAGAAUUCUAAGGUGAGCGAGCGAACUCUCGUUAAGGAACUCGGCAAAAUGACCCCGUAACUUCGGGAGAAGGGGUGCUCUUUAGGGUUAACGCCCAGAAGAGCCGCAGUGAAUAGGCCCAAGCGACUGUUUAUCAAAAACACAGGUCUCUGCUAAACCGUAAGGUGAUGUAUAGGGGCUGACGCCUGCCCGGUGCUGGAAGGUUAAGAGGAGUGGUUAGCUUCUGCGAAGCUACGAAUCGAAGCCCCAGUAAACGGCGGCCGUAACUAUAACGGUCCUAAGGUAGCGAAAUUCCUUGUCGGGUAAGUUCCGACCCGCACGAAAGGCGUAACGAUUUGGGCACUGUCUCAACGAGAGACUCGGUGAAAUCAUAGUACCUGUGAAGAUGCAGGUUACCCGCGACAGGACGGAAAGACCCCGUGGAGCUUUACUGUAGCCUGAUAUUGAAAUUCGGCACAGCUUGUACAGGAUAGGUAGGAGCCUUUGAAACGUGAGCGCUAGCUUACGUGGAGGCGCUGGUGGGAUACUACCCUAGCUGUGUUGGCUUUCUAACCCGCACCACUUAUCGUGGUGGGAGACAGUGUCAGGCGGGCAGUUUGACUGGGGCGGUCGCCUCCUAAAAGGUAACGGAGGCGCUCAAAGGUUCCCUCAGAAUGGUUGGAAAUCAUUCAUAGAGUGUAAAGGCAUAAGGGAGCUUGACUGCGAGACCUACAAGUCGAGCAGGGUCGAAAGACGGACUUAGUGAUCCGGUGGUUCCGCAUGGAAGGGCCAUCGCUCAACGGAUAAAAGCUACCCCGGGGAUAACAGGCUUAUCUCCCCCAAGAGUUCACAUCGACGGGGAGGUUUGGCACCUCGAUGUCGGCUCAUCGCAUCCUGGGGCUGUAGUCGGUCCCAAGGGUUGGGCUGUUCGCCCAUUAAAGCGGUACGCGAGCUGGGUUCAGAACGUCGUGAGACAGUUCGGUCCCUAUCCGUCGUGGGCGUAGGAAAUUUGAGAGGAGCUGUCCUUAGUACGAGAGGACCGGGAUGGACAUACCUCUGGUGUACCAGUUGUCGUGCCAACGGCAUAGCUGGGUAGCUAUGUGUGGACGGGAUAAGUGCUGAAAGCAUCUAAGCAUGAAGCCCCCCUCAAGAUGAGAUUUCCCAACUUCGGUUAUAAGAUCCCUCAAAGAUGAUGAGGUUAAUAGGUUCGAGGUGGAAGCAUGGUGACAUGUGGAGCUGACGAAUACUAA